ensembl:lncRNA
AUGCAUCAACCACCCAAAUCCGAUGGGAAACCACGGCAUGCUGUCAUCUGUUCAGACGGAGUGACAUUUGUCUGCAUGGUUUCUGCCAGGAAUCUGCACAAGCCAGUUCUCACCCUCGGACGGGACGCCCACGGACCCUUCGCAGACUUUCUGAUGAUUACUACAAGUCAAACAUUUUCAAAAUCGUAAAACACUUUGCCUGAGGAGAACUAACCAGACUGAAGCCGAUGAUCAGCGCCGCCGGAGGGAAGAGACGCACUCAGAACCAGACUGUCUUUGUUUCGCUCUGACAAACAAUGGUAAGCAGCUAUUUUUGUGCUCGUUUGGUAAAAAACAAACUGUUGGAGUUCAAUCAACUUGAAUUUGGCAGGGAUUUUCGAUCCAUUUUGCAAGUAGGAUGUGGGAUUAUGCACUUUCUUUGAUGUGUGUGUGUGUGUGUGUGUGUGUGUGUGUGUGUGUGCAUACAGACUUGUUUACGCAUGUGUUGCUGCGGUGGUCUGAGAUUUUGGAUCUCUCUCUCACUGCACAUUUAUUUAAUCAUUCCUAAUUAUCGGCUUUAAUUACGCAUUAUACAUUUUACACUCCUUUUCCAAUUUCCUGUACCUUCUCUCCAUCCAGAAAGCUCAGUUAUCGUCCUGAGUUCACGUAAGCUAUGACGUCAUAGACGACUGUUGUCUAUAAAAGAAACGUCUGGUGCAGUCGCAGAAAGCAAACAUCUAUAAAAGCCAAUCAGGCUCUGUAAUGAGGUGACAUCAUCAGGGUCGGGAAGACGUCACUGGCCUGUAUUUUGAUUGGUUAGCGCUGCAGCAGGAAGAGUAAUGCUUAUUCAACAGGGACAAACAGAACGAUAUUGUUCCUGCCGCUGGCUCUGAAAUCACUGGCAGAAUUGGUUUCGGUGAAAGCACUUCCAGGCUUAUAAAUUCAGUCUCAAUGAGGAACAUGUUUUUUUAGUGACCACAACUUACCAGUCUAUUUUUUUCUUUAUUGUUCCUAAUCAGACUAAAGUGGGGACUGCCAUUUUCACAUUAGAAUGACUAUACACACACACACACACACACACACACACACACANNNNNNNNNNNNNNNNNNNNNNNNNNNNNNNNNNNNNNNNNNNNNNNNNNNNNNAUUUAAAACAAAAAAUGGUCAAAAGUUCCCAAAUAUACUUAACAUAUAAAAUAUAUCAUAUACUGUAAAUAUAAUAAAUAGUAAUGUAAAUAUAUUUUUAAAGGAUGA